GAAGUUUAAGGGGCUCUCUCGUGGCUGGUAUUGCAGUUCACAGUGGGAAUUUCAACCACUGAGGAGUACUUCACUUAUCCUUUUCCCACACUGGGGAGUCUCUCCAAGCUCAUAGCUGAUCCCCGCCAAGCAGGCUGCUUCACUUCCCUCUCCUUUUUCGCUUUAGGUGUUUCCUGUCACAUCCCUAUUGAAUUCCAGUGUUAUCCAAUGAUCUAUUGAAAAUGUGAUUACCUACUCGCUAAUUAGUCUCCUUUUUACAGAAGAGCACGUGGAAAGCAAGACCCCUGAGGGCGCAGGUUUUAGUCAACUUUCAUUCAGUGCCGCUUCUACAGAGUUGAACACUUUCCGGUACAUUAAAUGCUCUCGGAUAUGACAACAGCCUGAUCCAUGGUAGAAAGAAGAUGUAAAAAAGGCCUGAGAAAUAUUUCAAAGUAAAUAUCAAAAGAACAACAGGUGGAAAAUAAGAAAAAUUAUGCCUUUGGAAUUCUGAGUCUGAAAACUAGGAUAAUGGUGGACCCAUGAAUAGAAUUUAAGAAAAGAACAAGUAAGCUAUGGAAGAUAGUGUCAUUCUUCUCAAUUUUUUUUCCUUCAGGUGUUGGAAUUUUUAUUUUUAUUUUAUUUUUUUCUUUUUAGACAGAAUUUCGCUGUUGUUGCCAGGCUGGAGUGCAAUGGCACAAUCUCGACUCACUGCAAGCUCCGCCUCCCUGGUUCAAGUGAUUCUCCUGCCUCAGCCUCCUGAUUAGCUGGGAUUAUAGGCAUGCACACCACGCUCGACUAAUUUUGUAUUUUUAGUAGAGAAGGGGUUUCUCCAUAUUGGUCAGGCUGGUCUUGAACUCCCAACCUCAGGUGAUCUGCCUGCCUCAGCCUCCCCAAGUGCUGAGAUUACAGGCAUGAGCCACCGUGCCUGGCCAGGUGUUAGAAUUUAUACUAAUUUUUUUCAGAACCUCCUUCUGAGGGUAGAGACACUUCCAAGCCAGGUGAAAGUGGGGUUUGACUUUGUGACUUGCUUUGGCAAUAGAUUGUGGGUGGAAAAUACCAAGAGAAAGUUCUCAGAUAAGGCCUUCACAGGCGUCAUGUGCUGCUCAUGCAUGCUGCAGUGCUCCUGUGAUCACCAUGAGAAGAGCGUGCCCUUUUAGCAUGGUCUGAUACCCUUUUACAAUGGUCUCUAAAUUCAGGCGUAUGAAGCAGAGUGGAGGAAAUCUAAAUCUUCCAAACUGAAAUGUAAAUGUAAGAGAGCUAUCCAAGCUCAUCUGCAGACCAAUAAGCAAGAAAAAGAAGUGCUUCUUUUAGUAAGUCCUUGUUUUAAGGUAAUUAGUCAUACUGCAUUAUUGAAGAAAUUGAUAAAUGAGUUCAUACUGAAUUUGAAGGUUUCAGAUGGAAAUAUAUUGAAAAUAAUUAAAAGGUUAAAAGAGAGUUAUGUCCUUGAGCUUACAGAUUUCAGAGUCAUGCUCAUAAAAUUUAUGGUUAAAGAGGAGACAGUAAAAAUCAAUAAAAUAAAAGGCUGACAAUUGAAUCAUUACUAUUAAUAGGACUAAGAAAAUGUAGUCAGUAAAGAAGAAAAAGAGAAAAAAUACUUUUGCAGCAUUCCCCAGUGGCAAACAGAAGUUCUAUUGAGAUAUGACCUUAGCUUCAAAUUCUAGGUCUGAAAUAUUUGACUUACAACCUCAAAUAAGUUACUAAAUGUCUAUUAGCAUGUUUUUUGUUUCAUCAGUAAAAUAGGAAUAAUAUUUAUUCUAUAUGGUUGUUCUAGAAUUUUAUAAUAUAUAUAAACUCUAGUGUAGUGACUGGCAUGAUAAUUUUUACUUAAACUUCAUUUUUGUCCAAUAGAUCUUUCUGUGAUUAAACUGUUUUAUAUCUGUACUAUAUAAUAUGGCAGCAGCUAACAAUAUGUGGGUAUUAAACAAUUAAAAUGUAACUACAUUGCAAGACUUUAAAUACAUGUAGAAUUUUAUAUAUGCAAUGAUAGCACAAAAAGGCAGUUUUAAAAUUUAAGUGUUCUAAAGUCAUUAAAUUUUUCAGUAUGUGGUAAAAGUACUAAUAUAUAUUGAGCUUUGAUAAAUCAAAAUGCAUUUUGAUUUUUAGGUAAUAACUACCAAGGGAUAAGUAAAAGGAGGUUUGACUUACAAAUUAAUGGAGGCAAUGAAACUUAAAAGUCACUAUUAUGGAAGGGUGAGGCCAGAGGAUCACUUGAGCCCAAGAGUUUGGGGUUACUUUGAGCCAUGAUUGCACCGUUUUACUCCAGCCUAGAUGACAGAGUGAGACCCUGCCUCAAAAAAUAAUAAAUAAACAGUAACAUUUUAAAAAAUUCAUUAAUGAACUAAAGAUAAGAAAAAAAACAAACAACAAAAAACCAGCAGGGAAAAAAAAAGCAAAGAAUAAAUACAUCAGUAUGUAAAUUAAAUGUAAAUGAAUUCAUUAUACCAAUUAAAAGACAAAGAUUAUCUGACCAACUGGAGACUUCUCAAAGAACUUAAAAUAGAACUACCAUUUGACCCAGCAAUCGUAUCACUAGAUACAUAUCCAAAGGAAAAUAAAUCAUUCUACAAAAAAGACACAUGCAGUCAGAUGUUCUUCAGAGCACUACUCACAAUAACAGACAUGGAAUUAACCUCGGUGCUCAUCAAGGGUGGAUUGAAUCAAGAAAAGUAAAGUGGCACAUACCCAACAUGGAAUAUGAUGCAGUCAUAAGAAACAACGAAAUCCUGUCUUUUGCAGCAACAAGAAAGCAGCAGAAACAAUCAUCCUAAGUGAAUUAACACAGGAACAGAAAACCAAAUACUGCAUGUUCUCACUUAUAAAUGGGACCUAAACACUGGGUAAACACGGACAUAAAUAUGGUAAAAAUGGUCACUGGGAACUACUAGAGGGAGGGGGGCAAGAGCUGAAAAACUGCCUAUUAAGUACUAUGCUCACUACAUGGGUGAUGGAAUCAUUUGUACCCCAAACCUCAGUGUCAUGCAGUAAAUUCAUGUAAUAAAUUUGUACAUGUAUCUCCUGAAUCUAAAAUAAAAAUUGAAAUUAUGUAUAUUUUUAAAAUACUUAAAUGAGCAAAAACAGUCUUGAAAACAAAAACAUUUGGAGAUUUCCCGACCUGAUUUCAAGCCUUCCUACAGUUUCAUAAAAAUUAAGACAGUGUAAUACCAAUGUAAAUAUAUUGAUCACAGAAGCAAGUAAAGUACAGAAAUAAUUGAGUCUCAACGACGGCAUCAAAGUAAUCCAAUGGGGUAAAAAAAAUUUUUUAACAAAUAGUGCUAAAAAAGUUUGAUACUUAGUCUUUUAUUUAAAAAAAAGAUAUUUGGCUCCUUAUUCCAUGCACAAAAUAUUAAUUUGAGACAAAUGAUAUGCCAAAAGAUAAUCACUAAAGCCAUAAAUGCUCUAGAAGAAAACUUAGGACACUAUCUUUCUUACUUUAAAUUGUCACAGAUUUUUUUAGGCAGAAUACACAGAAAUACUAACAACAAAAUAUUGAUAAUUUAGACUUCAUUAAAAUAUAAACGUCUGUGUUUUAAAAAAAUCACUAGAAAGUUAAUGGCAAGAUAGUCUGUUGAAAAUAUUCACAAUAUACUAGAUUUGACAAAAGACUCAUGCCCAGAAUAUAAAAAUAACCUAUUUAACUGUAAAGACAAUAUAAUAAAAAUAGUCAAAAUUCAAAAACAGAAGAUUAAAACUGGAAAAAAAGCAUAUUUAAAUAUGUUGAACAUCAUUGAUCAGUGGGUAAAUGCAAAUCAGUACCACCAUGAGAUAUCUCUUCAUUUCCUCUAGAAAUAAAAUUUAAAAGAAUGACAGCACAAAAUUGUUGGUAAGGAUAUGAAGGAGCUAGAACUCUCAUACAUUGCUUAUUGUAGAUCUAUUUGACCCAACAAUUCUCACCCAAAGAACUGAAAACCCAUGCCCACAAUAUUCUUAUACACAUGUUCAUAGCAUCUUUAUUCAUGAUAGUCCCAAAUUGAAACAACCCAAAUGUCUACCACCAGGAAUAUAAACAUCACUAAUAUGAUAUUAAACAAAAAUAGAAAAACAUGAAGAUAAAUUUUGUGUAGCAACAAAUAAUUUGUUGAGAGUAACAGCUGGAAAAGGAAAAGAGAGGAAGCAGGAUUGAGCAAAGGGAGUCCUCAGCGGAUGAUACAAAUCUGACUAAGCUUUGACCAACCCCGUGGGGCGCUCUAGAGCAAAGACUGGCAAUUAGUGCAACCCAGCUUUGAGUAGAAAUCACUUGGCCCUUGUACCACAAGCUUCUUCAGUAAUUGACUGAAGGAUAGUCCAAGAAAACUAUGUCCUUAAGCUACUGCCACCUGACUUAGUCAUUGUCUAGGGAUUGCCAAAUAUAGUGUGGCCUAGACUGAAAAGCCGAGACAGGCGAUGCAGAAGCUCACAACUAGAGGCUGGCAGCUAACCACAUUCCUUGCAGCUGGCAUGGAGCUCUUUCUGGAAGUGGUAUUUAAGCAACAC
rnacentral:lncRNA from 1 species